GGGGAAGGAAGGUCGUCUAGGGAGGAAGUAGAGAGGGAAGGAAGGUCGUCUAGGGAGGAAGUGGGGAGGGGAAGGAAGGUCGUCUAGGGAGGAAGUGGAGAGGGAAGGAAGGUCGUCUAGGGAGGAAGUGGAGAGGGAAGGAAGGUCGUCUAGGGAGGAAGUGGAGAGGGGAAGGAAGGUCAUCUAGGGAGGAAGUGGAGAGGGGAAGGAAGGUCGUCUAGGGAGGAAGUGGAGAGGGGAAGGAAGGUCGUCUAGGGAGGAAGUGGAGAGGGAAGGAAGGUCGUCUAGGGAGGAAGUGGAGAGGGGAAGGAAGGUCGUCUAGAGAGGAAGUGGAGAGGGGAAGGAAGGUCGUCUAGGGAGGAAGUGGAGAGGGGAAGGAAGGUCGUCUAGAGAGGAAGUGGAGAAAGGAAGGAAGGUCAUCUAAGGAAGAAGUGGAGAGGGAAAGAAAGAGGUCCCCAGGCCCACUCCUGGAGGCACUGGCCAUGGGGUCCUGCCUUGAGUAGCAGAUGGCAAGGGCUCUUCUUGCCAAGGGUGCAGCACAAGUCAGGCCCUGAGAUCAGUG
rnacentral:lncRNA from 1 species